GUUUCCGUAGCUCAGCAGGAUAGAGCGUCCGCCUCCUAAGCGGAAGAUCGUGCGUUCGAAUCGCAUCGGAAACG
rnacentral:tRNA from 1 species